CUUGUGGUAGGCUGGAAGCCACGAAGGGGUCAGAUAAUCGUGCCCGGGAUCAUUGAGUAGGUCUCAGACGGUGUUUGAAGUUGCUCGGAGCCUCGCAGAUUGUCGUCUCUCCAAUGAUCGCUCUCCAGUCAGUGUCAAUCCUGGACAAGGCUUUGUUGUCCAAGGCAAGUGGCCGUGGGCUAAGAACCGUGGUGUUGCACGAUGUAGAAGGUGUUCUUUUGAGUACCCUCGCUGCCAUGCAUCCACACCGAUCUACUCAAAGGCUGUCCGCUCUGCUCUGAACAGAGUCAUCACACAAUCAGAUGGUACCCUCUCUGCUUUAAUAAGUAAUCGGGUGGGGAAAGCUUACUUGUGAAGGAGAUGAAGGAACUGAUGUCGAUUUUACAAUUUUGCAACUUUACAUGCAUCUUUGAGCUCGUGCAUUACUGCGUGGAAUAAUUUCACACAGCCAGAUGAAGCUACUCGGAGGGGGCUUCUUAUGUGUACCAUCAACAUUUGGAUACAAUCAUAGACCAGCAAGUCCACUCUCGUGACCACUGCAGAGGAUCAAUGACAUCUCAGGAAUGAAGCACUCAAGUGAGAGUGUCUCAUCGUUUCCGUCCUCGAGCUGCACGUCGGCUCUCGUCGCCCGCUGCUUCUCUUUUUCCGGAAUGCAUCAAAUCUCAGAUCCUCCAUUUGAUCUGAGGUUUGUUUUGUUCGCAAGAGCUGCCAAUCAUAAAACAACGAGAGUUGGCGUGCUUUAUGAUCAGCCCUGCGUGACCGCUCGAAGUCAAAGCUUGGACAUCAACAAUCAGGGCUCCAUCCUGCUCAACAAUCAGGUAUAGCUUUGGAGGUGCUUGUUCUCCGAGUGCUCAUAAUUCGCAAGGUCUUUCACCUUCUUUUCUCAGUACCACCAAAGUGCCCAAAGUAAAAGUGCUGAGCACAGAAACAAUUUACAAGGGCCAUGCACAAUGAUUUGCAGCGGCCUACUGUGGCUCCGCUGACAAUGUUUUCGAAUUUCACUUCAAGAGGUUGAACGGUCCUAUCUUGAAACACCCUUGCCUGUGUGGAGUCGAUCGCUGGAGCCGUCAAUUGUGGUAGAAACGCAAACUGGUGCAGCGUUCAGAUCAGGGUUGCUUCUGAGCGAUCCGCAUACCUGGCGAUCCCUGUCACUGAUUACGAGUGGUACGAUGAGCGAGGGUCCACUGUGGGAAUGAGUAGUAGCCAGGUCGUCGCGGCCAACACGCAUCCUGCUCGUGGACUGCUUCCAUCUCUCCAUCCCUCGAGCAAACUCCAUAGCUGGAAACCCAACGAGUCUCGGGGACACCCGGCCACAAGAGAUUAGGGCUAGGGUUAGGGUUAGCGAUUGCAGAUCAAUGAAGUAUCCGGAGAAUUACAUAUUCUUGCUCCAAACACAUUGGCCACUAAAAGCAUCGGUCCUUGAUUGUUAGUUUUCAAAUUGGGGCAUUUAGAGAAAUGGGAAUUAGAAGUUGGUGUAAAUCCAAAGAUUUCAAGCAUCCUUAAAUAUAUAUGUAUAUAUAGAUAUAUAUAUAUAUAUAUAUAUAUAUAUUGAUGGGUGCAACUCAUGGGAGGGUGGAAGAGUCCAAGGUAAGGUAGAGUACCAAAAGUAAAGAGGUUUGAAAUUAGAGUAGAUGUGGUUUGUGGAUGCUACAUGUAUUGGAUUUUGACAUCAUAUUUGGGGAUAGCUCAAAUCAUGUGCUAAUUAGUCCUACCAUGUUCCUCUGCCUUUUUGACCUAGAAUUGCGUAAACUUAAGAACUAUGGAAGAUUAUCAAUACAACA